rnacentral:tRNA from 1 species
GGGGUUGUGGCUCAGUGGUGGAGCACUCGCCUAACAUGUGUGAGGCCCUGGGUUCACUUCUCAGCACCGCA